rnacentral:tRNA from 1 species
GGUUGUAGCUCAAUGGGAAAACAUUUGCUUUACAUGCAAAAGGUCCUGGGCUUAACUCCCAGCACCA